GGGUUUUUAUUUUAUACUUCAAAUCUUGAAUUUAUUUUUUAUGUUUUUGAAUGUUUGAUUUAAAAAAAUAUAAAAAAUACAAUAGAUAUUGACAUGGAUUAAACAAAGAUAUAUAUUAUUCUAUGUUGCAUAAACAAAUUGGCAAAGUAGAGAUGGAAGAUAAAAAUAUGGU
rnacentral:rRNA from 1 species